rnacentral:tRNA from 1 species
CCCUGGUAGCUUAGUCAGUAAAGAAUCUGCCUGCCGUGCAGGAGACCUGGGUUCGAUCCCUGGGUCAGGGA